UACGAAGGGGGCUAGCGUUGCUCGGAAUCACUGGGCGUAAAGCGCACGUAGGCGGAUCCUUAAGUCGGGGGUGAAAUCCUGGAGCUCAACUCCAGAACUGCCUUCGAUACUGAGGAUCUCGAGUCCGGGAGAGGUGAGUGGAACUGCGAGUGUAGAGGUGAAAUUCGUAGAUAUUCGGAAGAACACCAGUGGCGAAGGCGACUCACUGGACACAUAUUGACGCUGAGGUGCGAAAGCGUGGGGAGCAAACAGG
rnacentral:rRNA from 1 species